UACGUAGGGGGCAAGCGUUGUCCGGAAUCACUGGGCGUAAAGCGCGCGCAGGCGGCGAUCUGCGUCUGGGGUGAAAGCCCGGAGCUCAACUCCGGGAUUGCCUUGGAUACGGGGUCGCUUGAGGAUCGGAGAGGCAAGGGGAAUUCCACGUGUAGCGGUGAAAUGCGUAGAGAUGUGGAGGGACACCUGUGGCGAAGGCGCCUUGCUGGCCGAUUUCUGACGCUGAGGCGCGAAAGCGUGGGGAGCAAACAGG
rnacentral:rRNA from 1 species